AAUGGUCAACACAGCUGUGUCAUCCAGAAUCCACCAGUGUCAACCAACUCAAAAGCUGGUUGAGCACUGAGUUCUAUAAAGUUGACAAUAUGUGUAAGGGUGGUCUUCAAGCAGAACCCAGAAGAUUUGCCUGGUUGUCCUCAUGCAAGCAUGCUCAGUGACUUACCUUGUUCCAAGUCAGCCGUGUCAAGAUUUGAACAGGAAUAAAGGGGGAUAAUGGGUCAGAUGUAAUUAAGAGCAAUGGUGUGUCUCAUGCUUGGCUCCCUGGGAGGAGAGUCCAUUCACUGGAGCUGCACUGAUCUGUGAGAUGUGGUUAAACAUCUGCUGGGACUGAGGCUGGGACCAUCAGUCACUUGUCUGCUCUUCUUUGAAUGCAGACUCAUGAGGUAAGGAGCUGGUAAACUCAUUGUUUUGCUAAGAUAUAUGAAAACAAAUAAUUGAAUUUAGGUUUGUUUCA